rnacentral:rRNA from 1 species
UACGUAGGGGGCUAGCGUUGUCCGGAAUCAUUGGGCGUAAAGCGCGCGUAGGCGGCCAGAUAAGUCCGGUGUGAAAGUCAAAGGCUCAACCUUUGAAUGCCGCUGGAAACUGCCUGGCUUGAGUCCGGAAGGGGCGAGUGGAAUUCCUGGUGUAGCGGUGAAAUGCGCAGAUAUCAGGAGGAACACCUGUGGCGAAAGCGGCUCACUGGACCACAACUGACGCUGAGGCGCGAAAGCUAGGGGAGCAAACAGG